rnacentral:rRNA from 1 species
GACGUAGGGCGCAAGCGUUGUCCGGAUUUAUUGGGCGUAAAGAGCUCGUAGGCGGCCUGUCGCGUCGACCGUGAAAACCCGCAGCUCAACUGCGGGCUUGCGGUCGAUACGGGCAGGCUGGAGUUCGGUAGGGGAGACUGGAAUUCCUGGUGUAGCGGUGAAAUGUGCAGAUAUCAGGAGGAACACCGGUGGCGAAGGCGGUGGUCUGGGCCGGAACUGACGCUGAGGAGCGAAAGCGUGGGGAGCGAACAGG